rnacentral:piRNA from 1 species
AGUAAUUGAGUUGGAAGCUUUAGGGGCU